rnacentral:misc_RNA from 1 species
GUAACGGCGAGUGAAGCGGCAACAGCUCAAAUUUGAAAUCUGGCUCCUUCGGGGUCCGAGUUGUAAUUUGCAGAGGAUGCGUCGGGUACGGGUCCCUACCGAGUUCCCUGGAACGGGACGCCAUAGAGGGUGAGAGCCCCGUCUGGUAGGAUACCCAGCCCAUGUGACGCUCCCUCGACGAGUCGAGUAGUUUGGGAAUGCUGCUCUAACGGGAGGUAUACUCCUUCCAAAGCUAAAUACCGGCUGGAGACCGAUAGCGCACAAGUAGAGUGAUCGAAAGAUGAAAAGCACUUUGAAAAGAGAGUCAAACAGCACGUGAAAUUGUUAAAAGGGAAGCACUCGCUACCAGACUUGGGUUUGGCGGUUCAACCGGGGCCACGCCCCGGGGCAUUCCGCCAGCUCAGGCCAGCAUCAGCUUUCCGUCGGGGGCAAAGACGUCGGGAAUGUGGCUCCCCUUCGGGGGAGUGUUAUAGCCCGGCGUGUCAUACCCUUCGGGGGGCUGAGGUACGCGCUUCUGCAAGGAUGCUGGCGUAAUGGUAGCUAGUGACCCGUCUUGAAACACGGACCAAGGAGUCAACCUUAUGUGCGAGUGCCCGGGCGUAAAACCCCAGCGCGGAAUGAAAGUGAACGUAGGUGAGAGCUUCGGCGCAUCACCGACCGAUCCUGAUGUCCUCGGACGGAUUUGAGUGAGAGCAUAUAGGGUUGGACCCGAAAGAAGAUGAACUAUGCGUGUGUAGGGUGAAGCCAGAGGAAACUCUGGUGGAGGCUCGCAGCGGUUCUGACGUGCAAAUCG